GGGGUUGACUGGAUUUGACAGCGGGUAGAACGGAUAAGUAAGCAUGCAGUGCGUCGUUGAUUUGCACUAUAAUCUCAGUCUUCAAAAUUUUAUCUGGCGAAAAUAAUUACGCUCUUGCUGCUUAAUCGAAUCAUAGUAGAUUAACUUAAUCCCGGUACUAGGUACUGGGACGAGACAUCACUCGGAAGCCGUUGCUCCGAAGCAUUCCGAUUCAGUGGUGCAGUUAAAUCGGGGAUAGUUCAUACUUGCCUUGAAGUAUGAAUGAAAUUUAAGAGGAUAAGGUAAUGGUUGAUGGCUUUGGUUCUGCCAUUACACGAAAAUCUAGGCAAAGAUAAGCAUGUAGAAAGCUUAUACCUUCCUCGUUUGGACGAGGGUUCGAUUCCCUCCAGCUCCAC
rnacentral:tmRNA from 1 species